CGGACGGGUGAGUAAUGUCUGGGAAACUGCCUGAUGGAGGGGGAUAACUACUGGAAACGGUAGCUAAUACCGCAUAACGUCGCAAGACCAAAGAGGGGGACCUUCGGGCCUCUUGCCAUCGGAUGUGCCCAGAUGGGAUUAGCUAGUAGGUGGGGUAACGGCUCACCUAGGCGACGAUCCCUAGCUGGUCAGAGAGGAUGGCCAGCCACACUGGAACUGAGACACGGUCCAG
rnacentral:rRNA from 1 species